rnacentral:rRNA from 1 species
UACGGAGGAUCCGAGCGUUAUCCGGAUUUAUUGGGUUUAAAGGGUGCGCAGGCGGGCGCUUAAGUCGGUGGUGAAAUCUUGCAGCUCAACUGUAACAGUGCCGUUGAUACUGGGGAGCUAGGAUUUGGUUGCUGUGGGUGGAAUGUGUGGUGUAGCGGUGAAAUGCUUAGAGAUCACACAGAAUAUCGAUUGCGAAGGCAGCUCACAAAGCCAAGAUUGACGCUGAGGCACGAAAGUGUGGGGAUCAAACA